AGUCUGGUGCCAGCAGCCGCGGUAAUUCCAGCUCCAAUAGCGUAUAUUAAUGUUGUUGUAGUUAAAAAGCUCGUAGUUGAAUUUGGGGAGUCGCUUUUUGGCGGAUGGUCCGGGGCGAAAGUCUCGCGUACCACUGCCUAGGCUCUCUUUGAAAGCAUUAAGCUUUCAUGGACCUUUCUCAAUGGCCGCUUCGGUGGUUGUUGGGGAAAUUUUACUUUGAGAAAAUUAGAGUGUUCAAAGCAGGCAAUUUUACUUGGUGGCCCCGGGCUUGCUCGGAUCGCUGCCGAUAACUGGUCGUUGAAUACUACAGCAUGGGAUAAUGAAAUAGGACCUUUAUUUCUAUUUUAUGGGUUUUGUCUGAAAAUCUAGAAAGGAGGUAAUGAUGAAUAGGAACAGCUGGGGGCAUUAGUACUUCGUUGUUAGAGGUGAAAUUCUUAGAUUGGCGAAAGACUGCCUUCUGCGAAAGCAUUUGUCAAGAAUGUUUUCAUUGAUCAAGAACGAAAGUUAGGGGAUCAAAGGUGAUCAGAUACCGCUGUAGUCUUAACUAUAAACGAUGCCGACCAAGGAUCGGGAGACGUAUUAUUUAAAGAGGCAGUGGCUUCGGUUGCUGACCUCGAAUGACUCCCUCGGGACUUUGAGAGAAAUCAUUGAGUUUCUGGGCUUUAGGGGGAGUAUGGUCGCAAGGCUGAAACUUAAAGGAAUUGACGGGAGGGCACACCAGGAGUGGAGCUUGCGGCUUAAUUCGACCCAACUCGGGAAAACUCACGAGGACCGGACAUAAGAAGGAUUGACAGAUUGAGAGCUCUUUCUUGAUUUUAUGGGUGGUGGUGCAUGGCCGUUCUUAGUUGGUGGAGUGAUUUGUCUGGUUAAUUCCGUUCAACGAACGAGACCAGAACCUGCUAAAUAGUGAGCGUAAGGUGGUAUUGAAUAUAGGGUCUUGGGCUUCGGUUCGAGAUACCAUUCGUUACCGCUCAACCUUGCGUAUCCUCACUUCUUAGAGGGACUCUCCAUUUCCAGUGAAGGGAAGCGUCUGGCAAUAACAGGUCUGUGAUGCCCUUAGCUGUCCUCGGCAGCACGCGAACUACAAUGUAGAGAGCACGGAGUAAAUCUACCUUGGCCGAAGGGUCUGGGUAAUCUUUGAAACCUCUACGUACUUGGGAUAGGUCAUUGUAAUGUUGGCCUUCAACGAGGAAUUCCUAGUAAACGUGACUCAUCAAGUCACAUUGACUACGUCCCUGCCCUUUGUACACACCGCCCGUCGCUCCUACCGAUUGAAUGGUCCGGUGAAAAGUUUGGAUUGUUUGACGUUAAAGUGAACUUGUUCAUUUUGUUAGACGAGAAAUUCUUUGAACCUUACCAUUU
rnacentral:rRNA from 1 species